GACGAACGCUGGCGGCGUGCCUAAUACAUGCAAGUUGAGCGAUGAAGAUUGGUGCUUGCACCAAUUUGAAGAGCAGCGAACGGGUGAGUAACGCGUGGGGAAUCUGCCUUUGAGCGGGGGACAACAUUUGGAAACGAAUGCUAAUACCGCAUAACAACUUUAAACAUAAGUUUUAAGUUUGAAAGAUGCAAUUGCAUCACUCAAAGAUGAUCCCGCGUUGUAUUAGCUAGUUGGUGAGGUAAAGGCUCACCAAGGCGAUGAUACAUAGCCGACCUGAGAGGGUGAUAGGCCACAUUGGGACUGAGACACGGCCCAAACUCCUACGGGAGGCAGCAGUAGGGAAUAUUCGGCAAUGGACGAAAGUCUGACCGAGCAACGCCGCGUGAGGGAAGAAGGUUAUCGGAUCGUAAAACUCUGUUGGUAGAGAAGAACGUUUGUGAGAGUGGAAAGCUCAUCAAGUGACGGUAACUACCCAGAAAGGGACGGCUAACUACGUG
rnacentral:rRNA from 1 species